UUUAUAAGAUAAAUUGACAAUGUAAAUUUAAAAUGAAAUCAGUUGCACUAAACAACAAAACUGAUCCAAAAGUUAAAAAAAAUUAAUCAGUAACAAUUAAAAAGAUUAAUACGACGUACAUAUAUCAUUUGAAAGAAAUUAUUACUGGAAAAAUUAAACAAGUGGCAGAGAGAUGAAUCGAUUUUUGGUGAUUAUAUAGUUGGCAUCUUGGAGAGUGAUGAAAUGCAUGAAUAAAAAGCAGAUACUUUACAGGAACUGUUAGGUGCAGUGGUGGGUGAUACAAGUUAAUUUUAGUUAAAAUGAUAUGAGGAAAUAGCACGAAAAAUAUAACCUGUUAACAAGGCACUCCAAUAUACAGAGGAAGAGCGUCAGACACACAAUGUUGCUUGUAAAUCCUACCAAAGCUGUUACUGUACCAUAUACAAUUUGGAAUAUCAUGACAUCACGCGGCUUAUUGCUUACUGCUUACAGCUGACUAGGUCUAUUAAAUUAUGCGAUAUGGAGUCAAUGUCGUCACUAAAAUACUAGACCUGUCGGAUUCUGUAUCUGAUGUUUUUUUUUCGCAUUUCAUACGAAUUACUAGUGCGAUGGAUGUUAAAAAGCUCAUGGAUGAAAUCGAAAUUUAUUUCACAAAAUGUAUGCGAUAAAAAGAAGGAAAUUAUUUUUAAUCCAUUUAAAUGUGGGCUUAAAAUUUCGAAUUUAGAUAAAAAAGACUUAAAUGGAAAGUAAUAUUAACGGGAAGUUUAACCAAAUAUGCACCUAUCCAAGAAGAAAUGUUUAUGCAAGGCGAAUAUAUGUUACAACCUCUCUAAUGACAAAUGAAGAGUGAUUGUGAAAAUAAAAAAGAACAAUUUAAUUUACAAAGGAAAAAUAUAUAACUGAACGACAUUACUGAGGAUAUUUUCUUAAUAAAAUAGAAUACUAGAACAAGAAAAGUCACCAAUGUUGCAAAUUUGAUUGUCCAUUAAACUAGGGUUCUAUCAAUUCUGGAAAAUAGUUUCAUCGCUUAUUAUGGAUUGUAGAAAGUAAAAAUCUUUUCUAUUAUAAAAAGUAUAA